CUCGGGGAACAUUUCAGCCUACCAGAGUGUUACAGACAUGACACACCACGUGUUGCUUCCAUUGAGUAACUCUGUGAUUCAGAGUGCAUUUGCUUCGUAGCUGAGGCUCCCACAGCUUCUGGAUCCUCAAAGCUGCAUGGCGCUUGUGCAUUUUCCUUGGAGGACAUUCCUAAUGGAUGGAGGAUUUUUUCCAGUCGCCAUCAACAACACAAUUAGUAUAAAUUACAACAUGCAGGUACAGUGACACAGCAGCCUUGCGCUUAUGUCCAAAGACAUAAAGACAAGAUGAAUCUAGGAUGCAGGAGGAAAACAAACUAAUGCUAUCUUGCUUCCUGUCUUUUUUUUUUAAAGAACAGAAGUGAACAAAAAACAUCUCCCCCUUUUCUGUCCAAAAGCUCAUCUUACCAUUGACUUCACAUUUGAUCUUCAAGCAGAGCAGAGCAUUUUUGUUGAUAAUUAACCUAUACUUAUCAUUUUCCUAGUGUGCUAGAAAUAGAGAAUCAAAUAAUUCUUAUGCACGGGCAUAUGUGUUUUAGGGCCUUAGUGCUAAAAGCUUGAAAUCCAUUUGUGUUUAUAACAUAGAAAGCCCGAGAUUCGCUGUUACCGGUUAAGCUGUGUAUGGCACACCUUCAGAGACUCUCCCUUCCUCUUCAGCCAUGCCUGUGAGCCUCAAGGAUGCAGAUCGAAGAGUUGCUCAUGGGGAGCUGAUGGCAAUGCAGUUUCUGAUGGAGGAUGUAGUGCAGAACAGCUACAGCUGUGCUGUGGGAGAUCACGCUGACUGUCAAGCCUUGCAAGCAGGUACCUCUGAGAACUCAGUCCGUUUGGGACUGUACAGCUUCUAUGUGGGACUCCCAUCAGUUUUUGCAACCAAAUCCCUGUGAACAGAAGUGACCUAGACCUAAGGUAUACUGUAAUAACCUCACCUAUUCUUGACCAUCUGGUAAGAAGCAAAAGGAACAAUUUGUCUCCCAUAAAUCCUGAAUGCUCUUGAGAGAAACCCUAGUGAUAUGAUAGAUGCCCCUGGAGGGUCUGUUAGUAUCACCAGACUUCUGGAGAAAUCAGAGACUGUCCCAACUUCUUCCCACACCCCAGCGAAGGUCCAGCUCUUUCUGUAUCAAGAGCUACUUGGUGCAAAGGGGAAAGGAACGGGCUGGCCAUUGUCUAAGAUUGAAUCUAGUCAAGGAGAGGCAAGGUACUUCCAGGCUGUACUUCCCUGAGUACUUGUGUUGUGGACGUGUAUGUGAGGAAUAGUAGGGCUUGUAGCAAUAGGGCAAGGGGGCAUGGCCUUAAACUAAAAGAGGGCAGAUUUAGAUUAGAUAUUAGGAAGAAAUUUAUUACGGUGAGGGUGGUGAGGCACUGGAACAGGUUGCCCAGAGAAGCUGUGGAUGCCCCAUCCCUGGAAGUGUUCAAGGCCAGGCUGGAUGGGGCUUGGAGCAACCUGGUCUAGUGGAAGGUGUCCCUGCCCAUGGCAGGGGCCUUGGAACUAGGUCAUCUUCAAGGUCCCUUCCAACCCAAACCAUUCUAUGAUUCUAUGGUGCUAGGAAUGUUGGUGGGGGCACCUGAAGACUGCCAGAAAAUACACAAAGGUUUGGUUCAAAGAACAGGCAGAGAUUCAGACUGUUUGUGAUGGAAAACAGACACGCAGAUCGAUUUGUAAGGUAAGGUAAAAUGAGCAGAAAGGACAAAUUUAGUUAUUUUAAGGUCUGCUUCUUUCAAGAUCUGACCUAAGAGUUUGAUUUCUGUAACAGUACAUUUAGUAGAGACCAAGCAGAGAGUGCUGCUGUUGAAGCUAUUCACUUGAGGAAAGCAGCAAUAACCCAAAGGAUUUAACUUCUGUGCAGUUUUACCCCCAUCUCUGCUGUAUAUGAGCACUCAUUGCAAUCCAAAGGUAGGCUGGUUUUUUCCUGUGCCAUGCUCUGAAGGACACUGAUGUAAGGCCCCAUUGCAAGUUCUGAUUGCACAAUAGCCUGUUGCAUGCCUUGUCUUACUGUGUAUCUCAGGAGAUGAUAUUAAGCAAAGAAAAUCAUGUGAAAUAUUUGUCAUAGCUUUUUGAAGCAAGACAUUUCCCUGUGACUUCCAGCAGAACUGGGCAGAAGCGGUUGACUCAAGUGGUAAUGGGUUGCAGAACAGCAAAAAGAUGUGCAAACUUUUGCUGAGGCAUCAUGACUCGGUCAUGUCACUUAACUUGCUGAGAUCUUUUCUGAUACUAUGGAAGCAAUGGGAAAUAUUAAAGGCAGAAUGAGGCUGACUCAAGCUGAGGACUGAGGAUAUCAAUACAGUUCCCCUCUACAAAGAGUUUUGCGAGCAAUAUGGGUGACUUUUUAAAAAAGCCCUUUACAACAGUGUCUCACCGUAGUGGGCUGUGACAUCGUGGCCAGAGAGCACUGCAACUUUGAGACUGCUCCGUGUUUUAUGAAAAUGUUCUCCAGUAGCAGCAGCAUUUACUUUCCCCAAAAGAACAGGGAAAGUUGGAUGUCUAUCACCUUAGCAUUGAGCAACGAGUGUUUGAAAUCAUCGGUGAAGUGAGAAGAGGAGGUGACAAUAUGAUUGAUCUGAAGAAAAAGUUCAGCUCCACUAAGAACAACAGUGACUUGGAAGAACAUUUGUCUAAAGUAAGGAAAUACAUAUAUGCAUCGGUAAAUGAACACAAGGAUAAUAUCAAGGUAAAGCUUGUUGAAGAUAGCUUAAGUUAUUAUACUGUUUCUGAGACAUCAGUUGUGUGAAGAGCAUGGAGGUAGUCCAUUACUAGACUCUGUUAAUGGCUACUCAUUUGUCAGGCUGUCAUAAAUCGGUCAUCUUUGACUGUGUGUUCAUGCUCCAAGUGCAGAAAUGUUGGGCCAAACCCAGAUCUUGGACCCUGAAUAACUACAUGUAUUUGAAGUGAAUUUGGUUCUAAACUUAGGAACUAUGCUUUCAGUCUGUUCUGAGGGAAACUAACAUAAUGCUUUCUACACAGGUGAACAUCAGAGAGGUUAAACCUAGAUCUGAAGAAGCAUAAAUGUGAACUCACAUUCAGCCUUGUGUCAGCAUUGUCGUGUGUUGUCAUUGUCCUUUUUUUUUGGGUGGGGGAAAGAGAAUGUGAUGUUUCAAUAAGCCUGAUAAAUGUGUUGAUGGGAAUUUUAUCUUCUUGUUGUGCAAGCCGGUCACAUAAAAGAAUGCGGACAGAAUCCUCUUUUCUAUUUGGGGUUACUUAAAAUAAAAAAUAUAUUCAGCUUUAUGUUUUGAAAGAGUGCCCCCAAAACUGAUGGUCUGGGAGUUAUAAACUAAAGCCUGGAAAUUACUUUCCAGGCUACAACUUCCAAAUCAAUCCCUUUUAUAAUCAAACGUAUUCCUCCUCAGCAAAGUUCAAUUUGUACUGAAAUCAUCAUAGUCAGACAGUGAAUACAAAUGAGAUCAAAUGGAUAAUGGCUGAAUACUUCUGUCUAAAGCAAAUAUACUUGCAGAUCUCUCAAGCAGAGCAGUUUGUGAAGCAGGAUGUAACUGUAAUGUCUACAGAGUGAGAAGGACUUUCAACACCCCCAGUGAACCCGGGGGAUAGGGACACCCAGACGUAAAUGAGAAACCAGUAGAAAUGGAAGAAGUCCACGUGUGAGAAGGCUGCAGGGAGACUUCCACAUCCCCGCUUGGAGAGGACAGUGUGCAGAGGACAGUGAACAAGGACAGUGGGGAGCUUACAUGCAGUUAAAUGGUUGUGGCUUGAGCAGAGUUAUGGAAACGUGGUGGGCUGGUGCAGUCCGUGAUCAUGGACGGUUACAGGGUGUUUAAGAAGGAUCAGCAGGUAAGAAGAGGAGUGAGAACUGUACUUUGUGUAAGGAGUUCAUUCCCUGCACAGAGCUCAUGCAUGAACGUGGAGAUGUACUACUGAAAGGCUAUGAGGAGGGAGGAACGUUAGUGAUGAUCAAUGACUGCGGUGGGGAAUCUGUCACAGACUGCUUGGUCAAGAGAAUAAAUUGGACGGGCCUGUCUAUAGAGAGCUAAGAAAAGUGGUUUUGCUUUGAAGCCUUGGUGGACAUGGAAGUUUUAUCCAUCUGGAAAUCUACUGGAAGUGGAACACAGCAUUGUGAAAGCGUAGGCAGUUCCUAGGCCGCAUUAGUGAUAAUAUCCUAAAAGCAAAUGCUAGAGGAGCCAGUCACAGUAAAUCCCUACUUCUGCUUCUCACAAACGGGGGAAAACUGGUGGUGAGUGGCAUCUAGGGCUGCAAGGGCUAUAAAAUUAUUUCAGGAUCAGGAGAACGAUUUUAAAAUCAUGCUGCAGAGCUAGGACUUGGGACUUCAGGAGAGGAGAUUGUGACUUAUUUAGGGAAUUGCUAGGCAGAAUCCUUAGGAAACUGCCAAGAGGGGAAAAAUGAUGAGGAAAGCUGGUUAAUUUUUAAAGAAAACUAAAAGAGACUUCAAAACCAACUACCCUGUUCCACCAUAACACAUGGGAAUUUAGCAGAAACUUUGCCUUGCUUGCCUUAGCAAGGAGCUGCUUGAAGGACUAAAAUACAAAAAGAAAGAAUGCAAGCAGUGGAAAUAUGGGUAGGCAACAAAGGUAGAGUAUCAGAGUUCAGACCCAUGGUGAUGAAAUUAGGAAGGCCAAAGCCUGGCUGCAGAUAAAAUUAGGAUGGGACACAAAGGUGAGUUGACACUGAAUGGUAGAGCUUCUCUGCAGAGAUAUCUCUGCCAGGAGGGCCAGGACCUCCAGUGGUCCUCUGUAACAGUUUUCAGGCAGAAGUCUGCUAUUUUGAACAAAAAAGAAGAAAACCUGAUGACAAUACUUUUCAUGAAUGCACUGAUUUUGUUCUUAUUAAGGAUACUGUAAUUAGGGUGAAUCAGGUUACCCAACUUGGUACAAACCAGAAUCCUCAUUUGGCACAAGAGUGUUUAUCACCAUUAACAGAGCUUCAUUUCAGUGAGGUUUACCUGUUCGCUGUUUUGGAUUAAAUUUCUUCUGUUUUUCCCCCGGUUUCUGGGCAAUGCUCACAUUUCCUGUUUCCCUGGAGACACAGUAAUAGAAAUCUACGGCCAAAGGCUGCGCUGUUUCGAGAUGCACAAUUAGAGCAUUUGAAAACAAAACUGAAAUACAAAUAGUUGCAUGCUUUUACAAUUGUAUUCACUUCCAAAGCAUACUUUCUUCCUGGGGAAAGUAAUCUUUGUGGGUCUACUCCUCCCAACAUCUUAGUAGGAACAGCUGCAGCUCUUGUGGGAUGAAAAUACCAGGCUAAGCAAGUGGGUGUGUAAGCUAAAGGCUCUGAGCUGUUGGAAGCAAACUGCUCAGAAGGCACAGCUUUCUGAAAAGCUUAGAGAUGCUAAGAAGAUGAUAUUUCCUGACCAUUUCAUCUGUUCUCUAAUUUUCUGCAAAAAACGUAGAAUGUUUUCUGCAAAACUAAUGGUCAGAUUGGGCAGGCUCACUAUUGUUCGGUGAUCCUAUAGGAGCUCACUGUAACUGCCAAUUUUAGGUAAAAAUGCUAAACUUUCUCCCCUCUAUAAUAUGGGUAUAAUGGUGGUCUUCAAAUGUGAAGAGUGUGAAACAAAUCCCUGAUGUUUGCUUGAAGCAAGAGUUUAGGAAGCAGGAGUAGCCUAUAGUACUCCUGGUUCUGUUGUUGACUUGGAAGACUACUCUGUAUCAAAAUCAACUAUUUCAGAACUGACCAAAAGGUAUAAAAAAGAAGACAGGCAGACAUGAAGUGAAAAAGAACUGGAUUGUUGGCUUGGGAGGUAGCUCAGUUGUUUUUUGGUUUUUAUUUUUAAUUGGUAUCUGCUUAAACAAAGCAGAACACAGCAUGAGGUUUCUAAAUGUAAUUACACAAAUACAAGAUGAAGCACAAAAAUUACUAAAUUAAACUGAAGUGAAGAUGGAUGGAGAGAAAAGAGCCUCACUGCUUUAAAUGAGGCUGAUUCAAAUAGAACAAACAGGUUAUUGAUUGUUAUAUAGGCUAAUUAGCUGCACAUGUCAAGCAAAGAAAAGGCAGAAUAGAUCAUAUGUAACUUAAAAAGAGUGAAAACAAAAUGUUUUUUGUGUGCUUGUUAAUUUUAAACCCAGAUGAAACUGGAUGUGCAUACAAUUAGUUCAGUUAUAUCAGGGAGAUGCUGAAUCAUUAGAAUAUUUUAUUGAUCAGAUCAGUCAAAGAUGGAUUGAAUUAUUGCAAAUUUGUGGAAUUAAAUAAGAAGUAAGAGCUAUCUUCACAGGAUUAAAAAGAAGUCUGAAACUGAGAAAAUUAAAUGGGGAAAAUUGGCUUUUUUAAAUUAGAAACCAGCUCAUCUUGCUCAGACAGAGCUUUCUUGGAUCUGACUGUGGAAUGAUCCUGAAGAUCUAAGGGCUUGUAUUUCACUGUUCUCCACACCAAGUGCAGAGGAUCCUGGACCUUGCUUUUUCCAGUUUAAUGGCUGGAAAAGGAGAGAGGGCUGCUAAAUCUGUGUCUGACAUAGUAACAUGUACAUACACAUUGGUGUUUGUGUUUUGAAACAAACAAAAAGACCCUGCCCAGAAGGAACGCAAGCUUCAUCACACACAGUUAAGCAAGGAAUAAGCGGAUUAAUAAGAUGGACAGGUCUUUCUAAUGCGUAAGAUCAAAUUUUACAUUGCUCUGAGCUUCCUUGCACACAAGAACUUGAAUUGUUGACAUAUGAAUAAAGAUGUGCAGUGACACCCACAUGAAAGAUUAUCUUACUUUUUCCCCUUUAGAGAAUGCCUUCUGUCUAUCCUGUUCACUUUGCCUUAAAAAAAGGUCCAGCUUUUAGCAGAAAAUAGGAACAAUGCAAUCCCACUUUACUAAAAAUCUCAGAGAGAUUUACCUUUCAAGCAACCCACUGCUAUAUAAAAGAGAGAAAAUCACUGCUCUCCUUGCUUCUGUAAUGUGCUUUGUUUACAGGAAGCUCUUCAAAACAAAAAAAAGUGUCUGAAUACUAAGAUGAUGGGAGAACAAGAGGUGACUUCACUUCAGGGUCAGUUCAUGACUGUAAGGAAAGCUCUUGCAAAAUCUCAAGCAGAAAAUUACAAGCUAAACCAAUAGCUUCAUAAACAGGUAUCUGAAUUCAACAGGUCCCAAUUCAUCAGUGCAACAAGCUGAAUUCUCCUCUCCAUCUCACUUGGUUUAAUAAGGAUUUUGGCUACUGUGAUUCUAGGAAAGAAAUGGCUUCAGAACUAACUGCAUAACACAGUUGUUACUGAAGCUGGAUGUGUAUUUUGCGGCAUUGAAACUAUGCGUUCAUCAUCUGAGUGUUUUCACCAUUGCAGGUAGAGAGAACUAGAGAAAAAAUAUAGCAUCUUGGAUAAAGUCUGAAUCAUGUACCAAAAUGACAGCUACAGGCACUACAUUUAUGUAUGUCAUCAACAGUGCUGGAUGUAUGUUUUAGUAGAGGAAAAGAUGUUACUAACGUUUUAUUCCACAGAUUUAAAAAAACACCCUUAAAUCUCAGAUCCUGAGGUUAUUAGUCUUCCACCCAAUCAUUAAAUUUCAAGGAAACAUUCAGGGAUGUUGUCAUUAAAUCCAGAACAAAUUAAUUAUUUUUUUUUUUCCACCUGAACACCUUCAUGGCUGUAUCACUGCCACAGCAAGCUGCCUUUCACUUCUGCACAUGGCUACACAUGCUGAAAUGGCCCAUUCCUCAAAGUCAAACUGAAAAGCACACCCUUCCCUUGCAAUAUACUUAAUGCCAAGCAACAUUAUUUUAUAGCAAAUAAGUCUUGUGAAACCAACGUUAUUUCAUUCUGCUGAUAAGAUUAGAAGUUAGAUAAACAUAAUGCUAGAGAUGUAAUACAUGUUUGGAAGCGCCUUGUAACGCAUAUAACUUUUGUAUUUUAAAUUUUGCAGGAUCAAUAAAAAUGCCAAAUGGAUUGACAGCUAGAUUUUUGGACAUAGAAGCAUGUGUUAUUUUCAUUAAAUGAAGAUGGUUUCUGACAGAUGUCUACAGGUGUUGGUAGCAGGAACUAUCAGUAUUCAACAUUUUUGUCAAUGCCUUGGAAAUAAAUACAAAAUUGCAGAUUAUAAAAUUUACCAAUGAUAUAUGUGGGGAAGAAUGUUAGUGAAUUUGGUAAGGCACAUUUAGUGAAUAACGAUGUGGGCAGAGCAGGAGUACAGAAUCAUAGGGAUAGCUUGGUAACUUGGUUAUUCCUCCAAGGAGUAUUUCAGUGCCUGAGUAGAUGAAGAACGAGAAGAAAGCAGGGCUUGUACAGAACAGGGUGACCGCAUCCCUGGGCAGGACAGGGUUCGUAAUGGAUGACUGGCCAUGUAGUGCAGUACUGGAAAGAAUGGAUGCUAUAAUCUUUUCAUUUAUAAAAAGGAGAAUAGUGCAGACAUAUUAAAAAUGUGUUUGUAGCUCUGUGUACCACAUACUGAAAUACUGUUGCUGGAUCCAGAGCGUAGUACCUAAAAAAGAUGAAGAAAGAAUGGAGAAAGCGCAGAGGAGAGUUAGGAAAAUUCUUUGAGGGCUGCAAGAAAUGCUUUCUAGCAGAGGGCUCUUGAAAGGGACAAUCUAUUUAGCCUAUCUAAAAGAAGAGUGACUCGAUUACAGUCUACAGAUAUUUUUGUUGGGAGAGAAUAGUAGAUAUAUUAAAGGGUUCUUAGGGAAAGGUAUAACAAGAGGUGGUGCCUAGAAUUUGAGGCCGGAAAAACUGAAAAUGGGAAAUUAGAAACAACAUUUUCAAAAUGUGAUUAACAGGGGAAAUGACAAUAUGUCUGAGUGUCUUCAAGUCAAGAUCACAUGCCUUUCUGGGAAAAAUGGUUUAGCCGAACCAACUUGCUCAUUCCAGUACAAGGCUAAUUAAGGCAAAUGUGAUAUUAAAAAGUCAGAUCUGAUGGCUCGAUUGUGCCAUUCUGAACCUACUGGUCUAUGAAACUCCAACCUCAGUAAGGCUUAGAGAGCCCCCCAAUGAAAAAUGUUUGGCUGUGGCUGCUUUUAGCUAUUUGUGUUCAGAUUUUUCACCACAGUGGCGUGCCUUUGGCUGAUAAAUUGGUUUUCUUCACUGACAAGCUGUCAAUUUACUUCCAGAAGACCCACUGCAUCUAUCAUCUUUCUAGCAGCUGCUUUUGUUGCUUCUGUUUUUGAUUUCUGACAUCAGCUUCUGAUUCUUUCUCUUCUUUCUCAUUUCUUUCCUUGGUAUAGAUUGUGAUGGUGAUGUUUACAAAUAGCAGACUCCAUUCCACAACCCUUGGCUGUACAGGAGGGUUUGACCUGAUGUGAGUGGCUUGUAAUACCAUUUCAUUCAAUUGUGUUACAGGUUCUAAAAUGUAGCCAUACUUACUGGCUGUCUCUAUGAGCUGCAUAUAAACAGCAAUGUUUGAGAAAGCUCAUUUCCCCGCUCUCUUUCUUUGUUUAUAUGUUUUAAAAACAAGUUCCACAUGCAGACCAUAGGCUGGCUGCAGAAAGCAAAUUACAGCACACUGAGGAAAUUGGAAGCAACUGCCUUCUUGUUUACUUGCCAUUGAAUGAAUUCCACACAUGAAUGUUGUUGAGGCUUCUCUCUCUAACAAGCAAUGAUGUAAAUACAGCAUUCUGCUUCCCCUCCCCUUACCCUCCUCUUGUGCUUCCCUUUCCCACAACCAGAUCUUAUUUUGGGUUUAGGUCUGACUGUGGUCCUUUCAUAAGAUCAUAGGAUAAUUUGAAUUUGUUUACAGACAUCUUAUUAUCUUCAGUAUCAAGGCAUGUGGGAUUGGGUAUCUCCCCAUUCAGCUCAGCUGGGCGUGACAUGUGGAGUGGUCAUCAGGGUUUAAAAGCAUAGCUAAAAAGGUAGGGGAACUAGAGAAAAACAAUUUAAGUCUGAAACUUUAGUGAUUGGAUGUUGUAGAAGCAAAUGCUGUUAGAAGUAGUACAGAGGAAGAUACAAGAAGUGACAAGUACUUGGCAUGAUGAAAGGUGAAAACAAUGAGAAGGUGCUUGAAGAGAUGGAGGAAAAAGAGCAGAGAGUGAAAUGCCAAACCAAGGAAGCUGAAAAAUCUUCUAAAACGUGCCAUCUUCAACAAAAAAGAGAUACAACAGGUAAACUCAUAAUGCAGAGCUGAAAAAUAAAAACAGUAGCACUUCUGGAGGGAUGUCUCAAGUUUUAACGCUGUCUGACCAGAUCUGAGGGUUUUUUUUGUGUUUGAGCUUCACUGUAGUCCUCCAAGUCCUCUGGAUGAGGGUCUUGUAGCAUGAGCCUUGGCACGGUGCUGGGCCCUGCCUGCUGGGGGCUUAAGGUUGUGUUCCACCUCUUGGUGGCACCUUGUGUUUCUGAUGCUUCUCAGGGGCUUCCUGUUAAGCCUGGUUCAGUAUCUUUGCUCUAGAAAGUGAGUAUUAUUCUCCUUGGUUUAGAGGUAAACUGCCCAAGAGUCUGUGCAAGGUGCUGGUGCAGUGGGAACAGGUGCACAGCGCAGACAGAACAUGCUUGCACCCCUGGGGGAAUUGGGGGGUGCAGCAGCUAGAGCAGCAAGCAGCUGGGCUCAGUGGCUCUGGAGGCUUUAGCCAGCUGUUCAUUCCCUGUUGGGGUGUUCCCCAGUGGUGUGCUCCAUGCCUUGGCUGUAACUGCUGUCCUUGCCACCAGACUAAAUGGGAACUUUGGAGCCUUCCUUGGGCUCUGCCUCUCUGCCGGAGCCAUGUUCCUGCAUCUGCAGUGCCUGUUGCUUUCCUGGCUCUCCCUGUGACAUUUCCCAGGUGGGGCUCUGAUGCUAGUGCUGCUGCUGUCCUUUUGCUUUAUCGACUGCAUUUGACAUAAACCCUCUGCCCUUACCUCUGUUUCCCAAAUUCUGGUCUACCAAAUGAACAUAUUGGGAGCUGCUUUAAUCCAGUGUGGCCACAGAAAUGGCAUUAGUUUUCACUAAACUGAUGCCGUUAUGCUGCACUGAUAUAUUGAGUUUAAAUCUGUUACUGUAUUGCUAAUCAUUGAUUUAGUGUGAGUAACCAAAUCCACUUGUAAGAUUAUCUCCCUGUAAAACAGGCUGUAGAGCUUUCACUACUUCAAUUUAAAAACUGAUUUGGCCAAGUAAAUACAAUCUCUGUGUUUAGCACAGCUGGUAGAGUGGGCUCUUGGCUGCGAAAUGUGCAGUGCUGCUUCUGUAGUGUGGCCUGAACAAAGUAUUUUUUUGGCAACCAUUUGAUUAGACCUUAACUAGAUGAAUCAAUCUAUUUUUGCUGCUGAAGUCUCCUUGCCCUUGCUUUCUUGGUCUAGAGAGAAAAGAAGCUUUGUAAAUAUAUCUGAAUGCCUCUCAUGUAAAUCAGCUCAAGUAUAUUCUGUCUUCUAAAGCAUCAAGGUGAAAGCAUGAGUUGUUUGUUUUCCAGAGUCAGGAUGACAAACGCUGUUCUGCUGGGAAUAAUUUCUCAGGCUGCUGGCAGGAGACCACUGAUUUCACUGGUGCCUGUCUUUGAUGGGGCUCUGCACUGUUUUGCUGUGUUUACAAAAUAACCCUUCAAGAGAUCAGAGAUGUCAACAGCUUUUGAAGACGGCAGAAAGGAAAAUGGCAACUGCAGCAUGCAGGCUUUUAUUGCCGUACAACUGUCCCAGUUGCAGCUAGCACCUAAAUGGUGAGUAACACUAACAAACUUUAAAUAUAAACUUAGUAAAUGACAGAGUCUGUGGGAGAGUAGGGGGAAGAGCUGCUAUUUUUUCCACAUACCUCUGCCCUGAAAAUGGAGGUAGGGUCUUGUCUAAUUGUGGUUACAUGCAAAGAACAGUGAGAAAAGGCCUCUGUAUUGUUUUUAUCUUCCUCCAGCAACGCCUGAAAUGCAGAUUCCUAUUAAACAAUAAUGAGAACGUCAAUUUGCACUAUUUGUGCUGUAUUUUGCAUUCAGAGGGAUUAUGGAUAUGUUCAGCAAAGCUGUAAUUACAGAUUAUUUCAAUCAGCAAGAAGCGAUGGCCUCUUAUUUGCAAGUGAGGAUCUUUUCCUUUAAAUCUAGGCCUCUGCUUUGGUGCAGAGCUGUCAGAUGAUGAAUUUUUGUUGCUGCCAUUAAUCCUUUUACCACCUUUUAGAUAAGAAGUCAGUUAACCCAAGAGUGCAGUUUAAAAUGUGAGGCCUUGCAGCAAGUUGAUGAACUGCAGCGUCAAGUUUAUGACCUGGAAGCUGCAGUUUCCCAGAGGAAUGUGACUGCAGAUGAAGGUGGAUUGUGUGUUAUAACCUGUUUUCUUGGGAAAGUAAGUCUUAUGAGCUAUGGUUUGUGUCUCUGAAUCCCUCCUUGACCUUCGAAGCAAUAGGCAACUUAAGCCAAAUAUGAAAGAGGAGAACACCUCCUCUGUAAUGAAAGCAUUUAGGUGAAGGAGAAAGACGUAAGACAAUCUUGAAGAAAAAUCAGACAACUCAAAAGCCAUAUGCCUUGUCACACCGCAGCUGCUCAAGCAGCACAAGAAACAUUGACUCCCAAGUUAAUAACUUUAAACCAUAACUUGCACUGUCUUUUGCUUUUUAGGGAUAUCAUGGGAAAUAUGAGGGGAGCUGCAUUUAGGGGAGUAGGCAAUUAGGAAACGAAGGAUCCUAAGCUGUAGGAAACCAGGCUUCAUUAGUGGCUCUGGUGUUGGCACAGCUUGCUUACAAAUCACGUGGGGAAGCCAAACAAGACUGUACCUUUGUAAUUCGAUUAGAUACAUGCCUAUAAUUGCAGGUAUUUUUAGAGAAUCUCAAAACAGCAGUGACAGCUCUUAACUGAAUUAACCCAGAAUUUAAACCUUUAACAAAAGUCUUUCUUCUCAGCUGUUUGUUAGCUAACUUUUUAAUGUAAUGCUUACAUAAUUCAUAUAGCUUAAAAAGCUUGUUUAGGGAUUGCUAUUCUUACCUGCCUGAAGUUGCUGCUUUUCUCUGGGAUAUCAAAAUCCUACUACCAGUCUGACAAAUGUAUGCAGAAAAACUGAUGACCUAAACCCUAGCAAAUUAAUUAAACAGGAAAAAACUUCAAUGAUCUUUCAAGGUACGUUUCCAUACUGUGAAGAAUAUAAAGUACUACAAUUUAAUUAGUUUCCUUCUGCAGGAAAAUGCUAGUUAUUCUUGCCACAGGAAACUGAGAAAUUCUCAUUAGCACACUGUUGAAGAUAUGAACCAAAUAUGGGGAAAUAAAUGAACAGGGAGGGAUCAUUAAUUAAGACACAAAUAUACUUGGCUUCUCUGGCUUUAAACCAAUCAAGUUCAGGGGGAAAGUUGGUGCAAAACUUUCAGUGACAUCGAUGCUAUAGAACACAAUGAAAGCAGCUGUGACAGAAAGGGGAUGAUUUUUCUUUUUCUCCUGCUGUAAGUUACUAUUGUCAAACACGAGGCAGAGCUGGAAAGAUUGGCUGAGAGGCUUGGACUUCUCUGUGCUCGACACAGGAGGUCCGUGAAACUAUGGACACCUACUCUGCAAUGAAUUGUUGCUACCUUUUUACUUGUGAUUUUUUUUAAUUUCUGUAUCUGUAACAGUAGAUGCAUGUUGUGAGGUUUGGUGGCUUUUUUUUUUCCCUUUCAGAAAGGUAGAAAGAAGACUGCAGAGCUGUUCUCCCAUAGUACAAGAAGUAGUUUUCCAGGUAGUAAAUCAAUAUUAAAUAGCUAUAUUUUUUGAUGCAGUAAUACUAGUACUUCUCAGAAGGCAAUCCAGACUUGCAUCAUGUAAAGGUUUGUUUUUCUAUUAAUCUAACUUGCACUGUGCCACUAACCUGACUUCAGACCUAUAGCAUGUGGCCAGGCCUAUUUGUAUAGGGGUGGCAACUGUUACUUGCAAUAGCCCCGUUUUGGCUGUAAAGGUGAUGAUGUUUUUGAAGCAGGUCCUGUCAGCUCCAGGAAUUGCCCUCAUAAACUAAGACUUCAGCUAGUUUGUAAGAAUCUGUAGACAGCAGCCUGAGCCAUGUUCUCAAGCUUUCUUUUCCCCAUUCCUUCCCCUCCAUCUUCUCAUCUUCCUCUCCUAUGGACUAGGGCCCAGGGGUCCUCAAGCUUUUUAACCAGGGGGCCGGCGCGGAUGCAGUAGCAGGCAGUCAUCUGUGGCUGCUUGGUUCCCCCCCAACCCCUGGCGGGGGGUUCUGUAAAUAUCAGGGGCCGGAUUCAGGACCCUGGGGGCCGUAUCCUGCCCGCGGGCUGUAGUUUGAGGACCCCUGCACUAGGCCACAGCCUGUCUCAGUGAUGUAGAACAGUUGCUGUGCUGCUUCUGGGUUCAUGUCAUGCUCGUAUAGUCAGUCCUCCCAAGCCCCUGCUCAGGAUGCAUGGAUGCUGAACACAGUCUGACCAGACCGGGUAGUUGUACACUCUGGCCUUCUGCUGAAGCAGCAGGAGAGCAUCUGGCAGCUGCCCAGAGUCCCUUGGACCUGAAACAAUGCCAAAGCCAGCUAACCAAUGUGAUCGGAAACAUCCUGGAUCAUGUCUGAGGAGGAAGAGGAACAGUGUCUGAAUUAACAACUGCAGGAUUACAGCUACACAGCAAAAAUACCCUCGCCUUUUUACCUAAAGUUAGUAGGAAAGGUUAACGUAGGGUUAAGAAGUGGUAUGGCAACACCACACUGUACAUAGAUACAAAUCAGGGUUACAUCAUAUCAUGGCUGAGAGCAAGCAAAGCAUUUGAUUCAGUGGGGAUUUUUUGAGUGGCUGAAGCGUUGGCAUUAAGUAGCUGCAUCUCUGAUUUUUCAGAAAAAGACCAAGACUGGAAUUCACUAGCAAAUUUAGUGUCACUGGGAACAAAUAAUUAAUACCCAUCCACACCUUUUAAUCUUGGCUUUCAAUGGGUCCAGAAAAGACAGAGUUGUGGGGAAGAUAGCCACAUAUAAUGAAGUAGACUUGGGGCAGCAAGUUUUCAGUUUCACCGAGAUGUCUCCUGCGGCAGGAACGAAUGCUGAUACACUCAUUACUAUGAAUGAAAAGGGCAUGGGGUGAGCUGCAAAAAUUGCAGAUAGUUGCAAAUAGUUUUUGCAAACAGUUGCAACUAUCUGCAAAUAGUUUUUGUUCUACUUUGUCAAGAUCACCCAUGAACCACUUUUUCCUGACUAAGCAAUCUAUUAUUCUAUUAGUACUAUUAGUACUAUGCUGAGCGUUCACAACUUGUUGUAGGGUUUUUGUUGUGUGGUUUUUCUUUCUUUUCACUCUAACAUUCUGCUUAGAGAUCAGAAGCAAGAAUUUCUGCAUUUACUUGAGUUCUGCUCUAACUCUGUGUUGUUGACAACACUCAUGUUCUGCAGCUCCGGUCCAAAGCAACAAGCUUUCAGCAUCCACUCUGCAUGGGGAUGACCAGCAGCAUCCUUCGAAUUUUGACCCAAGCAGCAGUAAUGAAACAGGAGGAAACACUCCAAGACCACAGACAGUAACAGCGGGAUUGGGAAUAAACUGAUACGGCUGCAAAACAACCAAAUGCUUUGCUAGCCUGCAAACUGUGAUUUGUAUAUAUACCAGCUUUCAUCUGGACGGUAAAUCAAAUCCCUUUAAAGAUUUAUCUUUAAAAGCAAGGUAAGCAGGAUGUACAGCUAGCAAACGGGAAAAAAAGAAGUUGCAAGUGUUCCAAAAAUUAAGGAAAGGAGGCAGAAGGAAGGUAUUUAUCUAGCAAUGGUCCCAGAAUAAAAUUUUUUUUUGAGUAUCAUGCCAUGGUUGGUGACUUUUUAUAUGUUACUUGUGUUUUCAGGUGCCUAGCAGACGGGAGGAGAGAAUGGCAGAUAGGCUAUUACCACACCUAAAUGAAAAGUCUCUUCCCACUGUCCUCCUGCAGCUACAGAAACAAAGGCUGGUCCAGAAGUAAACCUAAAUGUAUGUUUAAUCAGUCCAGGGCCUUUUAGAAAAUGCCACUGAACUGGCAGCCUUGAAGUAAGAAAGAACAAUUUACAUACAAAUCAGAGAGAGGCAGUAAUGCUCCAGUACUGUGUGUAUGUACUUCAACAUACUUGGAUGCAGUGUUCCAUAGCAGCUCCAGCCAGUUCACCUGCUCACCCAUUUUAGGUACUGGGUGAUGCAGCUCCUCCUCUCAAGCAUGAGCAGCUCUGCAUCUCCUCCCUUCCCAGACAACACAGUGCAGUACAAAAAGGCAAGGCUAUCAGCCAAAACUAAAAGGCUUCCUUUUAUUGUGGUAACCUUGGAACAUGGGUGGUGCAAAGCAUAGCUAAGUGCUUAGAGCUAAAGCAUUGGGUCUGGUGUUUGCCGGUUUGCUUUUUUUCUUCUUCCACUGCUUUCCUACUGCAAGCCCUGACCACCACAUCCUGCCCCAUGCACUGCUCUCAGCCCCAAAGGUUGCAGCCUGUACACUGAACCUUUCACGCCUGUUUAAAGAUGACUCAUCAGAAGCCUCAGCAGCUCCACCUUCCCUA